GAGUUUGAUCCUGGCUCAGAUUGAACGCUGGCGGCAUGCCUUACACAUGCAAGUCGAACGGCAGCACGGGAGCUUGCUCCUGGUGGCGAGUGGCGAACGGGUGAGUAAUGCAUCGGAACGUAUCCUGGAGUGGGGGACAACGUUUCGAAAGGAACGCUAAUACCGCAUACGUCCUACGGGAGAAAGCAGGGGACCUUCGGGCCUUGCGCUAUCAGAUGAGCCUAGGUCGGAUUAGCUAGUUGGUGAGGUAAAGGCUCACCAAGGCGACGAUCCGUAGCAGGUCUGAGAGGAUGAUCUGCCACACUGGAACUGAGACACGGUCCAGACUCCUACGGGAGGCAGCAGUGGGGAAUUUUGGACAAUGGGGGCAACCCUGAUCCAGCCAUGCCGCGUGAGUGAAGAAGGCCUCGG
rnacentral:rRNA from 1 species